UGGCAAACCUAUGACACGCGUGUCAGAGGUGACACGUGAACUCAUUUUUUUGGUUGAUUUUUCUUUGUUAAAUGGCAUUUAAAUAUAUAAAAUAUCAAAAAUAUAAGUCUUUGUUUUACUAUGGUUGCAAAUAUCAAAAAAUUUCUAUAUGUGACACUGCACCAGAGUUAAGUUAGGGUUUUUCAAAAUGCUGACACGCCGAGCUCAAAAGGUUCGCCAUCACUGCCCAGCCGGUUGGCUCAGUGGGUAGAAUGCUGGCUGCGGAAUGAAGAGUCUCAGGGGGAUUCUGAUCAGAAAGGGCAGCAGGCUCAACCCCCGGCCCGGUCCAGCAUGUAGAGGAGGAGGCAACCAAUGGUGACACCAGCAUGUUUCUCUCUCCCCUUCCCCUUCCAUUUGUUGUAAAAAUCAAUGUCCCCAUAUAUGUUAGUUACUCUUUCACAAUUGCCUCUCUUUGUUCAACCUAAUUUACAAUCAUGUAGGUGCUGCCACUCACUUGGUUCUUCAUUUUCUGAGGGCGCCUGUGUCAGGUGAACUGGGCUAAAUCAAUGUGGAUGCUUUUAUACUGUGAAACCGGACCUGCCAAUGUUCUUCUUCGGCCGCAGACCAACAGGCAGAAGAGUUUCCCUCUGCACACACCGCCAGCGCCCGCGCUACUACAACUGCUGCAGAGUGUCGGGCGCAGAGGGUCUAGCAGCCAAAAGGGCAGAAACGGAAAUAGGUGUUGCCUUCGUUCUCUAAAGAAGGGAGGAGCACUCGGUUUCUUAGGAAAUCCAGGGUGAACGCUGCUCUCCUUUAUGCCGAGAGCUGCAGACAGACCCCCAUCUACACCGGGCACCCGCCCCGGAGCAGAUCGGCCGGAUGGGGGAACACUCAGCCCCUGGGCCAGGCCGGCCGUGGUUCUUUGACUCAGACCAUUUUCUUAAUAGCAGCACUGGAGUGUCGCUGGCUCCCCGUUACACACAUUCUCAUCCGGGUCUCACAGAAACCUAACAGGCGGGCAUACCGCACCCUCUUUACAACCUGGGGAAAUAGACACAGAGACGGGGUGUGGCUUAGACCGGAAUGGAGCCGCGACUCAGCUCUGGCACCACCACCAGGGGCUGCCUCGCCCUCUGCGGGCCGCGCACCUCUGCCUCCCAAACGCCCGGCCCGGCCCGGCCCUGAUCGCGCACGGACUCUUAUAACAGAUCCACGCCGGGACCAGGGCCCGCCAAGGCGAGGAAUUUAAAACUCCCCCCUAGCUGCGACUGUCUUCCGGCUGGUCGCCAGGCCUAAGUAGAGCGAACGUAUCUGCUUCAAGUAUCAGAGUGACGUAGGUGACCAGAGGCGGGGAUAUGUAGAUGAGCACAGUGCGGUGACUGCUGGUUCGAGUAUUAAGGGAGCAAAAUUUCCUUUGGAUAUCCAAAAGAACGUAUCUUAGUCUCUGUCAUAUAAAUAACACUGCAACUUAGAGUCGAAGGGCAAAAGAACGCUCAAUAUAAUUAACCAUGACCUUAAAGUGUGUUGAGGAUGAUGGUGACGUGCCAGGCAGGGCCCUAACCUCAUACUUACCUGGCAGGGGAGAUACCAUGAUCACGAAGGUGGUUUCCCCAGGGCGAGGCUUACCCAUUGCACUCCGGGUAUGCUGACCCCUGCGAUUUCCCCAAAUGUGGGAAACUCGACUGCAUAAUUUGUGGUAGUGGGGGACUGCGUUCGCGCU